rnacentral:rRNA from 1 species
UACGGAGGGUGCGAUCGUUAAUCGGAAUCACUGGGCGUAAAGCGCGCGUAGGCGGCUUUUCAAGUCAGGGGUGAAAUCCCACGGCCCAACCGUGGAACUGCCUUUGAAACUGUAGAGCUUGAGUGUCGGAGAGGGUGGCGGAAUUCCAGGUGUAGGAGUGAAAUCCGUAGAUAUCUGGAGGAACACCGGUGGCGAAGGCGGCCACCUGGACGACAACUGACGCUGAGGUGCGAAAGCGUGGGUAGCAAACAGG